GACGAACGCUGGCGGCGUGCUUAACACAUGCAAGUCGAACGGAAAGGCCCUGCUUUUGUGGGGUGCUCGAGUGGCGAACGGGUGAGUAACACGUGAGUAACCUGCCCUUGACUUUGGGAUAACUUCAGGAAACUGGGGCUAAUACCGGAUAGGAGCUCCUGCUGCAUGGUGGGGGUUGGAAAGUUUCGGCGGGUGGGGAUGGACUCGCGGCUUAUCAGCUUGUUGGUGGGGUAGUGGCUUACCAAGGCUUUGACGGGUAGCCGGCCUGAGAGGGUGACCGGCCACAGUGGGACUGGGAUACGGCCCAGAGUCCUACGGGAGGCAGCAGUGGGGAAUAUUGCACAAUGGGCGGAAGCCUGAUGCAGCAACGCCGCGUGCGGGAUGACGGCCUUCGGGUUGUAAACCGCUUUCGCCUGUGACGAAGCGUGAGUGACGGUAAUGGGUAAAGAAGCACCGGCUAACUACGUG
rnacentral:rRNA from 1 species